rnacentral:sRNA from 1 species
CAUCAGUGGUAGUGAGUUAUUUCAAUGGAUUGUUCACAGUCAGUUACAGAUCACACUUUGUUCUACUCUAUAUCUCCUCACUACUGCACUUAACUAGUCUUUA